UGGCUCAGAUUGAACGCUGGCGGCAUGCCUUACACAUGCAAGUCGAACGGCAGCGGACCUUCGGGUGCCGGCGAGUGGCGAAACGGGUGAGUAAUAUAUCGGAACGUACCUUUCAGUGGGGGAUAACGUAGCGAAAGUUACGCUAAUACCGCAUAUUCUGUGAGCAGGAAAGCAGGGGAUCGCAAGACCUUGCGCUGAUUGAGCGGCCGAUAUCAGAUUAGCUAGUUGGUGAGGUAAAGGCUCACCAAGGCGACGAUCUGUAGCGGGUCUGAGAGGAUGAUCCGCCACACUGGAACUGAGACACGGUCCAGACUCCUACGGGAGGCAGCAGUGGGGAAUUUUGGACAAUGGGCGCAAGCCUGAUCCAGCCAUGCCGCGUGAGUGAAGAAGGCCUUCGGGUUGUAAAGCUCUUUCGGCCGGGAAGAAAUCGCACAGGUUAAUACCCUGUGUGGAUGACGGUACCGGAAUAAGAAGCACCGGCUAACUACGUG
rnacentral:rRNA from 1 species